GCAGUCCCCACCCGACAUGACAGCCAAACCAACGCUUCCACACACACACCAUAGACUGUAAAAGUGAUGACAACAAUACCACGUGUGCACUGCGCGCCGGAAACACUCACAAGCUCGAGGAAGCAGGAAGAGCUGCGAGCGGUUACCUAGCAACAGACGCGGAUUGUUGUUUGAGAUGGAGAAACAGACGAAUAUUUGCUCCCUGGACGAAUAUAUUCAAUCUCAAGGACUGGUUGAUUGGCCAGUGACGUGUGAGGAGAAUCUGGACGAGUCUUCCUCUCUUCUCUACCGUCACUCUGGAGAAAUAUAUGAAGACCUCAAAGCCAGAGUCCCUUUUCCCAAUGACACCAUUGAAUCCCUGCAAAAAGACCUGCAGAUGCUUCAGAUUAAACUGAAUCUUCAGAACUCCAUUUUUUCCCAAGUAUCCGGAGCUCCAGCCGUCUGUGUGGGCACGUCUGUUUAACGCAUCUGGACUUCACACGGCCUGCGCUGAUCAUUUGGCAGAGAGAAAACGUACCGAUUGCCUUUAAUACUUUUAAUUUGUCACCAUCUGUUUGUGGUGAGGAUGAAUGAGGCUGUUUGGCUGGUCACAGCAGAUUCAGAUGAAGACAAUAACACACUGAUGUGAUCCGAGGUGAACGAUACUAGAUCCUUUUGACUCAGCGGAGAGGCACUCCAUCACAGAUACAGAGAUAAAUAAUAUUAGAGAGAAUGAUUAAAACGGCAUGAAACUGCUCUGAAGAUCUGCCAGCGCUUCACUUCAUCAGACUGUUCGGUUUUGAUCAUCUCCGCCAUGAUUCUUCUGUUCACUCAGGACUGUUAGCUGCUCAGGUGCGUGUGGACUUCCUGUCUUUGCCGUCUGGUGAUUGGUUCAUGAGAGGUCACAUGGACCCAUCCCUGCAUCUGGACUGAUUCCUGCUGUGUGCAAUUACUGCAACUCUAUCUGCAGGUGAAACUGGACAUGUUGUUGGAAUUAUUCAAUUUAUGCAAGUCACCUGUGUCUAUAAAUCUCAAGAAAACAUUAUUAACUAAAAUUAAAACUUAAAAUAUAAACUUUAACUGAAAUAGAAUAAAAUAUUUUUCAGCUAGUUGCCAAGGCCACAUUCAUAAAGCUUAGCUUGAUGUACUUAAAUAACUAAAAUUAAAACUGAAAUAAAAAUUUAUAAAAACUAUUUAAACAUAUUAAUAAAAAUGACAAAAACUCACAACACAGUUACUAAAACUACUUAAAACAGAAAAUAUAUAAAUGAAAACAUUCAAAAUAUUAAUUAAAAACUAUAAUAGUAUAUCAGUAAUACUAAAAUAACACUGGUCUAAGUCACAUUUUACCCUAAAACAAAACCUGUUUUUAGGACCAUUAUGAUUUUUACAUUAUGAAUGUAUUUCAUUAUGUCUUUAUUUUGCUUUACAGUAAUGAGAAUUUAUGGGUUGAAUUCUGCAUUUAGUUGUCAUGAAAAUAAUUUUCUGAUGCAGUUAUCCUAAAAAUAGGCUUAAUUUUGUUAGGCAAAAAUAAAAAGUGUUUUUUCUUUCGAUGUUGAGCCGGUCAUGGUCUCGAGGGAUUCGCCCAUAUGUGAUCAAUCUCUGUGUUGUUUUAGACUUUAUCAGGUCCCAUUUAGAUUCAGAGCUUUGAUAAAACUCAAUCGACGUGUCCACAGGUUCCACUGCCAGAAUCGCCCACGGUUUUGAUUUUAUUUGGACUCAAACAUGCUGAACUCAUGUUAUGUGCUGAAGGCUUUCGACCACAUGACCAACAAACAAACGAACAAAUGCCAGAUGAAUGUGAGACACGUUUAAGCUGAGCUUUUAUCAUAGAGAUACAAGACAUUUUUAUUAAAUGACAAGUGAUUCUAAGAUUAAUUUGCAGACGGUGAUGAAACACACUGAUUGUAAAGUCCAGAUGGAUUCGAAUCAAACCUUUUAUCUGAUAAAUGAAUCAUGUCUUUUUUAGUGUGAGGCCCGUCAGUCGCCGUCGCUCACAAACGGCCCUCAGUGAGAGUCUGUUUACAUUCAGAACAUGUUACAAAUUAUACGCUAAAACCAACUUUGCGUGACUUGGCAGAAGUGCUCACCUUACUCUAACUGUGUUUGGGUCAAGAGAAGGGUGUGUGUGUGUGUGUGUGUGUGUGUGUGUGGCAGUCGUCCAGCACAUCUCUCUCGUUCACCUCACAGGGAAUCAUGUUUCGCUCAAUCCCUCGAGAUGCUACAACUGACUCCAUCGAUCUGGAUAAAAUACAUCCACAAGAAACAACAUGUACAGUACAUAAACACUGAAGACUGAGCAACUUGUCAAAUCAAUAAAUAUAUGAUGAUUAAAUAUUGA